UACAGAGGUCUCAAGCGUUGUUCGGAUUCAUUGGGCGUAAAGGGUGCGUAGGCGGUGAAGUAAGUUGGAUGUGAAAUCCCGGGGCUCAACCCCGGAACUGCAUUCAAUACUGCUUUGCUAGAGUACUGGAGAGGAGAUUGGAAUUCACGGUGUAGCAGUGAAAUGCGUAGAUAUCGUGAGGAAGACCAGUGGCGAAGGCGAAUCUCUGGACAGUUACUGACGCUGAGGCACGAAGGCUAGGGGAGCAAACGGG
rnacentral:rRNA from 1 species